UCCCAAGGACUAUUCUAGUGCAGUGUGAGUGGAAGAAAGACCUUCAUUCUGGAGGAUGCUCUGCUUGGCCUGGAUGCUGCCCAUCAGAAGCCCCAGCAAGACUGUUUUCAGCAGGAAUUCCCCAGGUUUGAUGACAUCAUUCUGCUCGCUGUCCCAGUACUGAGUGUCCUCCAAGCCUCACUUUUCCCCCUGCGGUCCGGCAGAGAAUGGUGGCGUCACCCUAGAGCGAGGAUUUGCAGGAUUCCUCUGCUUGCUCUUCACAGUCCCUGAAGGAUUUUGUUAGUUCUCCAUUACUUUUGUUACCUGAGACCCAUCUUUUCAUCCUGUUCCUCCUCUUCCUUGACGACCUGGGAUGUUUCCACACUGAGACAAAGAGGAAGAGACACAUCUAAGCAAUUCUCUACAGAUAGUCUCACUCAUCUCUGUCCUGAGUUCUCCUUGUGACAAGUCCAAAAGCUUG
ensembl:processed_transcript 1500017E21Rik RIKEN cDNA 1500017E21 gene